rnacentral:lncRNA from 1 species
CCACAAGACACCGAGAUUCUAUAAUAAUUUGCAAGCAAAUUUUAUUCAGCCUCAGAUGGAACUGAAUUGCUGCUUGGACAUAUAACUAUAUAUACCCAUACAAUUAUUUAAACUCAGGUAUUGGAUUAUAUUUGUUUGAUUGACUGGAAUGGCUAAUUCCCCACAUUGACUAUCAUGGCCAUAAAUUUUGAAUUUCGCAGGGAAGGGCGAUAGGGAAAAAUUAUGGAAGUGAACCUGUUGGCAAACUGGACGUUGCAGAUGGAGAGCCCCUUCAACGAGGUUCCUGCACGGCUACUGCAGGCUGCAGCAUCAUCAGGAUUCACUAAUUCAGCUCGCUGCUGUUCACGAACCUCAAAUCUCGAAUGCUAUAAAAUCUUCCUCUUCCCCCUCCUCCUUCUGGAUUAAAGUUUAUCUUUGUACAAUUUGGAAUUUCAAUUUCGGGCGAUUUUGUUUUUACAGUUUAGGGACUUUGAUUUGGAGGCUGCUACAAUGCCACAAUAUUUUUUUACAAAACCUUCA